AUAAAUACCGAACCGUGACUUUUGUGAAAAUCUCAUAUCCGGGUUUUGAGAUAGAAAAAAAAAAAACAACCGCCGCAUACGUAUGCAAACAUAACAAACACCGUCCUUCCGGAAAAAAACCGUACAGUGGUGCGUUGAUCCAUUUUUCGUUACCUUCAGUAUUAUUAUGUAUGUACAGAACGUUACGGGAUAUUUUCAUAACGGACAAACGAGAUAACUAUUAUAAAUUUAUAUUGCUUUUAAGGAAACGAGAUUUCUCG